rnacentral:rRNA from 1 species
CGUGCUUAACACAUGCAAGUCGAGCGGUAAGGCCUUUCGGGGUACACGAGCGGCGAACGGGUGAGUAACACGUGGGUGAUCUGCCCUGCACUCUGGGAUAAGCUUGGGAAACUGGGUCUAAUACCGGAUAUGACUACAUCAUGCAUGUUGUGUGGUGGAAAGAUUUAUCGGUGCAGGAUGGGCCCGCGGCCUAUCAGCUUGUUGGUGGGGUAAUGGCCUACCAAGGCGACGACGGGUAGCCGACCUGAGAGGGUGACCGGCCACACUGGGACUGAGACACGGCCCAGACUCCUACGGGAGGCAGCAGUGGGGAAUAUUGCACAAUGGGCGGAAGCCUGAUGCAGCGACGCCGCGUGAGGGAUGAAGGCCUUCGGGUUGUAAACCUCUUUCAGCAGGGACGAAGCGUGAGUGACGGUACCUGCAGAAGAAGCACCGGCUAACUACGUGCCAGCAGCCGCGGUAAUACGUAGGGUGCGAGCGUUGUCCGGAAUUACUGGGCGUAAAGAGUUCGUAGGCGGUUUGUCGCGUCGUUUGUGAAAACCCGGGGCUCAACUUCGGGCUUGCAGGCGAUACGGGCAGACUUGAGUGUUUCAGGGGAGACUGGAAUUCCUGGUGUAGCGGUGAAAUGCGCAGAUAUCAGGAGGAACACCGGUGGCGAAGGCGGGUCUCUGGGAAACAACUGACGCUGAGGAACGAAAGCGUGGGUAGCAAACAGGAUUAGAUACCCUGGUAGUCCACGCCGUAAACGGUGGGCGCUAGGUGUG